CCGAGUUUACAAACUCCCAACCCUUUGUGAACCUUACCGUAUCGUUAUGCUCGGCGGGACCGCCCCGGCGCCCUCGGGCCCGGAACCAGGCGCCCGCCGGAGGCCCCAAACCCUCAUGUCUUUAGUGGUUUUCUCCUCUGAGUGACACAUAACAAUAAUAA
rnacentral:misc_RNA from 1 species